UACGUAGGGUGCAAGCGUUGUCCGGAAUUAUUGGGCGUAAAGAGCUCGUAGGCGGUUUGUCGCGUCUGCUGUGAAAACCCGAGGCUCAACCUCGGGCCUGCAGUGGGUACGGGCAGACUAGAGUGCGGUAGGGGAGACUGGAAUUCCUGGUGUAGCGGUGAAAUGCGCAGAUAUCAGGAGGAACACCGAUGGCGAAGGCAGGUCUCUGGGCAUUAACUGACGCUGGAGGAG
rnacentral:rRNA from 1 species